UACGUAGGGGGCAAGCGUUGUCCGGAAUUAUUGGGCGUAAAGAGCGCGUAGGCGGUCCGAUAAGUCGGCUGUGAAAGUCAGGGGCUCAACCCUUGAAAGCCGGCCGAUACUGUCGGACUAGAGUCCGGAAGAGGCAAGUGGAAUUCCCGGUGUAGCGGUGAAAUGCGCAGAUAUCAGGAGGAACACCGAUGGCGAAGGCAGGUCUCUGGGCAUUAACUGACGCUGAGGAGCGAAAGCAUGGGGAGCGAACGGG
rnacentral:rRNA from 1 species